rnacentral:lncRNA from 1 species
UUCUCCUCUGAUUCCUAUCGAGUUGCCCAAAGGCUUCUCUUCUGACUGUGCUCGUUGGGGCAUUAAGCCUAGGGUCAAUCUGACCCUUGCCGCAGGCUCCCCCUGAGUCUUUCUUUUGGUGUGACUGUUUUUCUAUCAAUAUCCGGUGAUCAAGAAGAGAAUGCCGUAAUGGAAUGGGCGAGGCCUAUUCUCAUCUCUUCCCCUCAUCCAGUUCCUAGUUUCUAAGCNNNN